UUGGAGUGAUUGAGUGGUGGUUGGAGUUAGGAAUAGGCUGCUAGAGGCUGCUGGAGCAACAAGACUCCCUGAAGCUGAGACUGGAAAGGGCAGGCCAAGUACUUCCAUGGCAACAAGCAAGUUUUAGGUCAUGGCAUGAAGGCAGUGUGCUGUGCAGGAGCAUGGCCUCUCUCUGUAGUAGUGCCACUGCAUUGGCUGACUCCAUAAGGGAAUCGGUCGUCCUUGCCCGGAACAACUGCUCCACUUUGCUGAUGAGAUCGAAGGCCUCUUGUGAUGGACGGUGUUGCUGGGUCUAUCAGUUCCUCCAGCCUCAGACCAGGACUGCAGAUGGUGUCGAACCAGUGGUCUACCUUCUCAAGGAACCAAGAUGUUGUGAGGUAAGACUGUGGCCGUUGCUCCUCCUCAGCCAGGUAUUUCAGGCCAGCACUGGUCGCUCUACUGAAGAUGUGUAUGGCAGGUGACAAUGACACCGAGAUUGAAUAAAUAUGUGCUGUUGGGGUCAGAUCUUUGAAAAGUUGGGAUCUCAUUUGUCUGCUGCAUUGAAGUUGGUCAACAACAAAAAUGGGAAUGAUUUUGCAGUCAUGAAGGAUAAAUUGGUAUGUACUGUGAUAGUAUGUACUGUGUCUCUGUGUUAAGGGCCGUUCACACCAGGAACUGUAACGAUAAAUGCG